rnacentral:rRNA from 1 species
CUAUUAUUUAUUUUAUUAAAUUUGAUUAUUAUUAGUUAAUUUCUUUAAAAAUCAAAGAUUUUGGCGGUUAAUUAAUUCUUUUUAGAGGAGCAUGUACUUUAAUUGAUAUUCCACGAUAUUUUAUACCAAAAUUUUAUUUGUAUAUCUCUAUUGUCAGAUUAUUAUUAAAAUAAUUAUCUUUUUCUCUUUUAAGAAAAAUUUUAGGUCAAGGUGCAGUUUUAUUUUGGUUUUUAUGUGUUAUUUUAAUUUUAUAUAAAUUUUUAUUCUUAUAGGUAAUUUUUAGGAUUUAAUAGUAAAUUUUAUUAAUUAAUUAUUUUAAAUAUAGUUCUAAUUAAUGUACACAUC